GAUGAACGCUGACAGAAUGCUUAACACAUGCAAGUCGACUUGAACUUCGGUUUGGGUGGCGGACGGGUGAGUAACGCGUAAAGAACUUGCCUCACAGAUAGGGACAACAUUUGGAAACGAAUGCUAAUACCUGAUAUUAUGAUUUUAGGGCAUCCUAGGAUUAUGACAGCUAUAUGCGCUGUGAGAGAGCUUUGCGUCCCAUUAGCUAGUUGGAGAGGUAACGGCUCACCAAGGCGAUGAUGGGUAGCCGGCCUGGGAGGGUGAUCGGCCACACGGGGACUGAGAAACGGCCCUUACGCAUACGGGAGGCAGCGGUGGGGAAUAUUGGACAAUGGACCAAGAGUCUGAUCAAGCAAUUCUGUGUGCACGAUGAAGUUUUUCGGAAUGUAAAGUGCUUUCAGUUGGGAAGAAAAAAAUGACGGUACCAACAGAAGAAGUGACGGCUAAAUACGUG
rnacentral:rRNA from 1 species